UACGUAGGGGCCUAGCGUUGUCCGGAAUCAUUGGGCGUAAAGAGCUCGUAGGCGGUUCGGCAAGUCACGUGUGAAAUCUCCAACGCUUAACGUGGAGGCGCCACGUGAAACUGCCGUACUCGAGUCCGGUAGGGGAGUGUGGAAUUCCCGGUGUAGCGGUGAAAUGCGUAGAUAUGUGGAGGAACACCUGUGGCGAAGGCGGCUCACUGGACCAUAACUGACGCUGAUGCACGAAAGCUAGGGGAGCAAACAGG
rnacentral:rRNA from 1 species